UGAGGAAUAUUGGGCAAUGCCCGAAAGGGUGACCCAGCAACGCCGCGUGGAGGAUGAAGGUCGUAAGAUUGUAAACUCCUGUUAGAGGGGAAGAAUAACUAAGUUUGGAGCUUAGUAUGACUGUACCCUCAGAGAAAGCCCCGGCUAACUACGUGCCAGCAGCCGCGGUAAUACGUAGGGGGCAAGCGUUGUCCGGAUUUACUGGGUGUAAAGGGCGCGCAGGCGGAAUGGAAAGUCAGUGGUGAAAUCCUACAGCUUAACUGUAGAACUGCCUUUGAUACUUUCAUUCUUGAGUUCGGGAGAGAGAGACGGAAUUCCAGGUGUAGUGGUGGAAUGCGUAGAUAUCGGGAGGAACACCUGUGGCGAAAGCGGCAUUCUGGCCCUCACCUGACGCUGAGGUGCGAAAGCGUGGGUAGCAAACA
rnacentral:rRNA from 1 species